rnacentral:rRNA from 1 species
GCAUAUCAAUAAGCGGAGGAAAAGAAACCAACAGGGAUUGCCCUAGUAACGGCGAGUGAAGCGGCAACAGCUCAAAUUUGAAAUCUGGCUCUCGGGCCCGAGUUGUAAUUUGUAGAGGAUACUUUUGAUGCGGUGCCUUCCGAGUUCCCUGGAACGGGACGCCAUAGAGGGUGAGAGCCCCGUCUGGUUGGAUGCCAAAUCUCUGUAAAGUUCCUUCAACGAGUCGAGUAGUUUGGGAAUGCUGCUCUAAAUGGGAGGUAUAUGUCUUCUAAAGCUAAAUACCGGCCAGAGACCGAUAGCGCACAAGUAGAGUGAUCGAAAGAUGAAAAGCACUUUGAAAAGAGAGUUAAAAAGUACGUGAAAUUGUUGAAAGGGAAGCGUUUAUGACCAGACUUGGGCUUGGUUAAUCAUCUGGGGUUCUCCCCAGUGCACUUUUCCAGUCCAGGCCAGCAUCAGUUUUCCCCGGGGGAUAAAGGCGGCGGGAAUGUGGCUCUCUUCGGGGAGUGUUAUAGCCCACCGUGUAAUACCCUGGGGGGGACUGAGGUUCGCGCAUCUGCAAGGAUGCUGGCGUAAUGGUCAUCAACGACCCGUCUUGAAACACGGACCAAGGAGUCGUCUUCGUAUGCGAGUGUUCGGGUGUCAAACCCCUACGCGUAAUGAAAGUGAACGCAGGUGAGAGCUUCGGCGCAUCAUCGACCGAUCCUGAUGUUCUCGGAUGGAUUUGAGUAAGAGCAUACGGGGCCGGACCCGAAAGAAGGUGAACUAUGCCUGUAUAGGGUGAAGCCAGAGGAAACUCUGGUGGAGGCUCGCAGCGGUUCUGACGUGCAAAUCGAUCGUCAAAUAUGGGCAUGGGGGCGAAAGACUAAUCGAACCUUCUAGUAGCUGGGUUUCUGCCGAAG